UCACCCUUUCUCCACUUCUCUCUGAAAAAAUUCUCACUUUUUUUCUCACACUUUCCCGGAUAACCCAAUCCAUCCCAUCUUCAAAAGCAGAAAAUUUUCCCUCAAGAAAGUGGUUUUCCUUACCACAAAAGCAGAUGUAUUCAAUUCAAGAAACGGGUUCAAAGAUUUUCCCCAGAAAAUCUGAUCCUCUCUCUUCAAAUGGGUUUUUAAUUUUGAAAUACUUAAUUUCUUAAUUUUAAUUUAAUUAUAAAAAAAAAUUUCUUCUGUUUUCGCAGACUACUGACGGUGAUGAGGAAGUUAUGUACAAAGUUUCCAAUCUCUCAAAUCAAGAAAAGGGUCUGAAGAUUUUCUCUGGUACUGGGAUACAAGGCAGUCAAAUCCAGUGCAUACUCCCUAACCGCUUUUAUUCUUUUACAAUGCGGCAUCCCCUGAUGGUUGUUGGCACUGCAGAUCGCAAUCUGAUAGUUUUCAACUUGCAGAACCCUCUGGUGACAUUCUCAUCUAAUAAAAUGAACCAAUAAUGAUUUUCUUGCAUCUUUCUUUGACAAUCAGAUACUUCAUUAUUACAGAACAACAUUUUGUAAGUCUGGCAGUAAUGUUUCGCACUUAAAGUUUGAGAACUUUUUUCAUCUACUUUUGAUAUGUAGAUCUAGGCUUCUAGAAUGUGAUCAUGUAAGGGUAUCUCUGCACAGUAUUAGGGGAUAUCAACUUCUAGCUUUAGCUUAUUGGAUAAUCUUAUUUUUGGUCUUUUCUGACCCUUAAAAUUUAAUUUACUAUUGCUUUUAAGUGUUCCAAUGAAUCAUUGAUUCUUCUCCACACCCCGUUCCCCAAUGAAUAAUUGAUUCUGUGUGCAUGUGUUUGGACUUGAUAGAAAACAAGAUAGGGUGGAGGGUCCUGGCUUCAAAUUUGUAUUUCCAACUUAUUAUUAUAAAUUUAUCAGCUGCUAAUCGAUUCACUGCAUGUGACAUUAACUUUUUGCUAUUGUUAGCAAAACCUUUUUUUGCGAUUGACUAGUUCGUUUAUUUAUUUUUUCCAAACAAAUUUGAGGCAGUGAUGAUGGUCAUUAUUCAGUACUUUCUUUAGCUUUUACUGCAUUCCUUAGUCUGCUGUGAAAGCAAAUUUUGGGUUGAAAACACAGGAAAAACCCAAUUGGUCUGUAGCUACUAAGAGAGAUGCUUACAAGUGCUGGAGCAAGAGAAAUGAUUUCUAUGCAGUAUAGAGACCUUUUUGUAUCAACACCCUAAAAGGUUACAGCAUUUUUUUUUUUCAUAACCACCAGAAGUUGGAUGCGGAAUUUUAAUCUUAUGAACAUGACUCCUUACAUAUUAUUUGCGGAUGCUAGCAGCACGACUCACAAGUGCUUCCUCAUUUCUUGUUGCUAAGGAUUCUCCUACUGAGUUCAAGAGAAUCACUUCACCUCUAAAGUACCAGACAAGAUGUGUUGCUGCCUUUCCAGAUCAGCAAGGUUUGUUGUUGAUAGAUCGGAUCCAAGAAAGGCAAUUUCCUGGUUCUGGUCUGCCAUAAUGCUGGGGACCUGGUUGAUAGUGCCUUGAAAGACAUGGCAAUUGUGAUGAAACAAUUGGAUCGAUUUGAUGAGGCAAUUGAGGCCAUCAAAUCUUUUCGUCAUCUCUGCCUUUAUGAUUCUUAGGAAUCUCUUGGCAAUGUGUUAGUUAACUCUACAAGGUAAAACUAAAACCAGUUUUAUCCAAUAAAUAGUUUCUUAUAUUUUACUUGCCAUUCUUUGUCAUUUUCCUUUCAGCUAGUUACAUAUAUUGGGGCAACAACAACAAGAAAGCUGGAGUGUGGCAAGUAUAAAUG